AACAAAACUAAAACACAUUUCCUUCCUUCACAGGAGACAUGAACCUUGAAGAGUAUUUUGCAAGAACUGGGUACAAAGGUUCUCUUGAAAAUCAAGACUUGGAAACCUUAACUGAUAUAUUCCAGCACCACAUCCGUGCUGUUCCAUUUGAAAACCUCAGCAUCCAUUGUGGGGAGAAAAUUACUUUGGAGCUGGAGCACGUAUAUAACAAAAUUGUGCACAGGAAGCGCGGUGGUUGGUGCAUGGAAAAUAACCAGCUGUUAGGUUGGGUCCUGAAAUGCCUGGGGUAUGACACCAGCUUUUUGGGAGCGUAUGUGUUCAACCCGCAUGAGAAUGCAUAUGCCACCAUUAUGACCCAUCUGCUAGUCAAGGUAGUUAUUGAUGGAAAAGUCUACAUUGUUGAUGCGGGCUUUGGUGUAUCCUAUCAAAUGUGGCAACCGAUGGAGCUUGUAUCGGGGAAAGAUCAGCCCCAGGCUCCUGGCAUCUUUCGUUUCACAGAAAAAAAUGCCAUCUGGUACCUUGAGAAAAUGAGACGGAAACAACAUAUCGCCAAUCAAAAUUUCUCAAAUUCUGAUCUUCUAGAGAAAAAAGACUGUCGGAAAGUGUAUAAGUUCAGCCUGGAACCACGGACAGUGGAAGAUUUCUAUUUUCAGUGCACGUACCUUCAGACGUCUCCAGAUUCCCUCUUUACAAAGAAGUCUAUCUGUACCCUUCAGACCACCGAUGGCUUUCGAGCGCUCAUUGGGUGGACACUCACUGAGACCAAAUACAAUUACAAGGACAACAUGGAUCUGGUGGAAUUUAUAACCCUUGAAGACGAAGAGGUGGAGAAGACACUGAAAGAUAAAUUCAACAUCACCCUAGAGAGAAAGCUUGUCCCAAUUAACGUCAAAGGAUUUUAUACAAUCUAGGUGACUGGAAAACCCAUGGUAAUGCUACACGUGUACAUAUCUUCCAUGUCUGUGCAAUCACUACUGCAAGAUUAUGGGAUUCCCUUGCAGGCAACUGAAGGAAAAAUACAUUAAUACCAGAUUAAAGUGAAUUUCACUCUGGAGAAAGGAGAAAAUCAGGGAUUUAAGACUCAUCUGUCAGGCAGAUAGAAUUAUUUUCUGUGAGAUGACUGCGGUUCAAUUUUUGGCACAAAUGUAGAGACUGAUUUGAAUCUGGUUAUAAACUUGGGUAAGAAAUAUCUCAGAGUAAUUUUGGAGUGCCUAUAGCACAUAAAUUGGAGUAAGGAUUAUUAAUUGUGAUAUGCUGCCAGCACAUUUUCUAUGGCCAUUAUAGGAAAAAAGUCAGCUGUGAGCUUUUAGACAAUGAAGUAUGCAUUUAAAGCUUCAUUUUUCACAAGAUCUAACCACUCACUGCUCAUCUCAUUGCCUUUAAUAUAGGUUGAACAAUAUUGUCAUCUCUGAAAGGAACAUUAGGAGGUGUAAUUCUUUCAGCAUCAUCCUUAGAUGAAAACACAGUACAGAAUGAACAUUAUCAUCAUGUGCAUCCCUUCUGUCAUUACUGCAGUAGACUGCCCAAGGUAAUUUUUGGAUUUGAAGUGAUCUGUACUCAAGAAGAUAGAACUGUCCUGAAUGGACCUAACCAUGUGACUGGAUUUCAAGUUACUCACACAAAGUUUCAGACUUCUUUUUGCCAAUGAAAGGAAAAAGCAGCAAUGAAUGAAUCUGUCCCUGCCUGAAAGAAACUAAUUACAUGCAUCUAGAAGAAAGUGUGAAUGAAAGAAAACAAAACAUGAAGAAACGAAAGUAGGUCAAACUCUGGAUUAUUUAACCUUGAGAAUGUCUCUAAAAAAAAAAAUAAAAUAAAAGCUGUACUCCCA